AUGUCAAGCCUCUGAGCUGAAGCUCAGCCAUUGUAACCCCUGUGACCUGCACAUAUAUGUCCAGAUGGCCUGCAGGAGCCAAGAAGUCUGGAGUAGCUGAAAAACGACAAAAGAAGUGAAACAGCUAGCUCCCGCCUUAACUGACUGACCAACCUUAUGACAUUCCACAUUAUGACUUGUUCUGGCCCU
rnacentral:antisense_RNA from 1 species